rnacentral:rRNA from 1 species
AUUGAACGCUGGCGGCAGGCCUAACACAUGCAAGUCGAGCGGAGCGGCUGACGGGUGAGUAAUGCCUAGGAAUCUGCCUGGUAGUGGGGGAUAACGCCCGGCACCGGGCGAUAAUACCGCAUACUCUCAGAUGAGCCUAGGUCGGAUUAGCUAGUUGGUGGGGUAAAGGCCUAACAAGGCGACGAUCCGUAACUGGUCUGAGAGGAUGACCAUGCACACUGGAACUGAGACACGGUCCAGGCUCCAACGGGAGGCAGCAGUGGGGAAUAUUGGACAAUGGGCGAAAGCCUGUUCCAGCCAUGCCGCGUGUGUGAAGAAGGUCUUCGGAUUGUAAAGCACUUUAAGUUGGGAGGCGUUACCAACAGAAUAAGCACCGGCUAACUUCGUGCCAGCAGCCGCGGUAAUAC